GAUGAACGCUGACAGAAUGCUUAACACAUGCAAGUCAACUUGAACUUCGGUUUGGGUGGCGGACGGGUGAGUAACGCGUAACGAACUUGCCUCACAGUUAGGGACAACAUUUGGAAACGAAUGCUAAUACCUGAUAUUAUGAUUUUAGGGCAUCCUAGAAUUAUGAAAGCUAUAUGCGCUGUGAGAGAGCUUUGCGUCCCAUUAGCUAGUUGGAGAGGUAACGGCUCACCAAGCGAUGAUGGGUAGCCGGCCUGAGAGGGUGAACGGCCACAAGGGGACUGAGACACGGCCCUUACUCCUACGGGAGGCAGCAGUGGGGAAUAUUGGACAAUGGACCAAGAGUCUGAGCCAGCAAUUCUGUGGGCACGAUGAAGUUUUUCGGAAUGUAAAGUGCUUUCAGUUGGGAAGAAAAAAAGGACGGUACCAACAGAAGAAGUGACGGCUAAAUACGU
rnacentral:rRNA from 1 species